AGGAAAUUGUUCAGAUGUGUAAAUCUAUUAGAAAUUAUAAAAUUUCUUAUAGACAAUGUUGAUUAUAACAAAUUACUUGCCCAGGAUAUAGCAGAGAAAAACAGCCUUGAUAAACAAAAUAUUACACUACAAACUGCACAGUGUGAGAUAUGUAAUUCAUUAAAGCUGCCAAAUUGCAUCUGUAAAGGUCAACCAAACACCUGGAAUGCUUCAAACAUUGAAAAUGCAUCUCAAGCGGAAGAAAGCACUUUGCAGAAUUCUAUUGAGACAACUGCAUUGACAGAUUUGCCAGGAAAUCAUGGCAAUCUUGGAAAAUCACAAGCAAAAGAUCAAAUAAGAGAAAUACAACUAUACCACCUAAUGUAACUCCUACACAGAAUGACUUAAGUGUAA